GUCACCGUGGCGCAAUGGAUUAGCGCAUUGGACUUCUAAUUCAAAGGUUGUGGGUUCGAAUCCCGCCAGUGAUA
rnacentral:tRNA from 1 species